UACGUAGGGGGGCAAGCGUUGUCCGGAUUUAUUGGGCGUAAAGAGCUCGUAGGCGGCUUGUCACGUCGAUUGUGAAAGCCCGAGGCUUAACCUCGGGUCUGCAGUCGAUACGGGCUAGCUAGAGUGUGGUAGGGGAGAUCGAAUUCCUGGUGUAGCGGUGAAAUGCGCAGAUAUCAGGAGGAACACCGGUGGCGAAGGCGGAUCUCUGGGCCAUUACUGACGCUGAGGAGCGAAAGCGUGGGGAGCGAACAGG
rnacentral:rRNA from 1 species